UACAUUUGAGUCUCAAUCUGGAAAGUGUUUCUAAGCUAGCAACAUAUAAAUUUAUUGUAAAAUUCUAUCUUCAAAAUGUUUAUUGGUCCAGUUCAGAAGGAGCAUUUGCACAACAUGAUCCUGGGUUGCGGUUGGCCCUGUGGAUCUUUGAGCAGCCCGUGUGAUACCAGCGGGGCUGCUAAAGUCAACAGCUAGUUUGUUGCCCUUUGGACAUGGACCAAUGCAUGAAGAAGGACGUCUCUUAAAGUCAAUUCGGACAACUAAUACACAAAAAUAGAUGUUAAAUAUAAAUAAACUAUUUAUGGACUAAAGCUUAAAA